UUAAGUAUUGUGCUUCUUGCUGUAAAUAUGGACAUACAUAAAUUAUUAUGUUGGCUUUAGGUGGGCGUUUCUUUAAGUAAAAGACGCCCACAAAGGACCAACAUACAUUA
rfam:Helianthus annuus linkage group 11, whole genome shotgun sequence.